rnacentral:tRNA from 1 species
GGGGUAGUAGUAUAACUUGGCUAGUAUUCCAGCUUCGGGAGCUGGCGAUCUGGGUUCAAAUCCCAGCUACCCCA